AAAUCCACCCUUCAGUGCCCCCUUUGUGAUAUUGGACCCGUUCCAUGGAAAGAUCUCUCCUUUACCAGCUGGCAUGAUAUCAAGCUAUGCCAAUAAGAGGAACGUGGAAGGGUGCCACAGGAGGGAGGAACUUCUCUUCCUGGUUCUGCACUGAGAGGAGGGUGGCGUUCAUGUCCGAGCUGCAGAGGAAACAGGAGGCUCUUUUCUGCAAACAGUUCAGCCACAUGGACACUGACAGAGUGCUUCCAGCUGUCCCUUUGCUCUAGAUGAUGCUCAAUUCUGCCUUGAGUCCUCUCUGUCACACCCAUCAGAGCAGCAGACCGUCCUCCCAGAUGAAUAUAUGGAGAGCUCCCUGUCCUGACAAGAGAGAAAGAGCACAAGCAGGGGGAGUGGCGGGCAGAGGCAGAGAGAGAAGCAGGCUCCCCCGCUGAGCAGGGAGCCCAAAUGACCUGAGCCGAAGGCAGUCGCUUAACC